UUCACCCAUAAUAAGGACCCAAAAAUCGAGAAAGACGUGAACUAACCAGGUUCUCCUGAUUCCUCCUCCAGCUCCUCCUCAAACCUCCUCCCCUCUCUCUUCGUCCCUCAUCAGAAUUAGAGUUGUUGUGUUUUCUCUGGUUCUCCUGGUUCUCGUUGCGGUUCUGGUCCUGGUUGGAGUUGUGAGCCUGAGCAGGAAUCAGUCAGAUGCAGUCCGACAUGUUCAGAGGAGACACGCUGCAGGUGUGCCUUUGCUGACAGCUACAGGUGAGCUGAUGGAGUCUGUCUGUCUGUGUUGACCUCUGACCUUUUGGGCCUGUUCACACCUGGUAUCUUGUCAUGCGUCCUGGCUGAUCCCAUCACACCUGGACAGCUCAGAUGUCACUUCCAGAGUUUCACAAAGU